UAAGACGAACCGUGCGAACGUUGUUCGGAAUCACUGGGCUUAAAGGGCGCGUAGGCGGCCGACCGAGUCCGGGGUGAAAGCUUUCGGCUUAACCGGAAAAGGGCCUUGGAUACCGGUCGGCUCGAGGGGGGUAGGGGCCUGCGGAACUUCCGGUGGAGCGGUGAAAUGCGUUGAUAUCGGAAGGAACGCCGGUGGCGAAAGCGGCGGGCUGGACCCCUUCUGACGCUGAGGCGCGAAAGCCAGGGGAGCAAACGGGAUUAGAUACCCCGGUAGUCCUGGCCCUAAACGAUGGGUACUAGGUAGGGGACUAGACAUGGGUUCCCUGCCGAAGCUAACGUGGUAAGUACCCCGCCUGGGGAGUAUGGUCGCAAGGCUG
rnacentral:rRNA from 1 species